UGGGGAAUAUUGGACAAUGGGCGCAAGCCUGAUCCAGCAAUGCCGCGUGGGUGAAGAAGGCCUUCGGGUUGUAAAGCCCUUUUGUACGGGAAGAAAUCCUGUCGGUUAAUACCCGGCGGGGAUGACGGUACCGUAAGAAUAAGCACCGGCUAACUUCGUGCCAGCAGCCGCGGUAAUACGAAGGGUGCAAGCGUUAAUCGGAAUUACUGGGCGUAAAGCGUGCGUAGGCGGUUGGCUAAGUCAGAUGUGAAAGCCCUGGGCUCAACCUGGGAAUGGCAUUUGAAACUGGCGAGCUAGAGUGUGAUAGAGGAUGGCGGAAUUCCCGGUGUAGCGGUGAAAUGCGUAGAGAUCGGGAGGAACAUCCGUGGCGAAGGCGGCCAUCUGGAUCAACACUGACGCUGAGGCACGAAAGCGUGGGGAGCAAACAG
rnacentral:rRNA from 1 species